GAGUUUGAUCCUGGCUCAGGACGAACGCUGGCGGCGCGCCUAACACAUGCAAGUCGAACGAGAGAGAGGGAGCUUGCUCCCUUGAUCGAGUGGCGAACGGGUGAGUAACGCGUGAGGAACCUGCCCUUCGGAACGGGAUAGUGUCUGGAAACGGACAGUAAUACCGUAUAACGUAUUUUUACCGCAUGAUAGAAAUACCAAAACUGAGGUGCCGAAGGAUGGGCUCGCGUCUGAUUAGAUAGUUGGUGGGGUAACGGCCUACCAAGUCGACGAUCAGUAGCCGGACUGAGAGGUUGAACGGCCACAUUGGGACUGAGACACGGCCCAGACUCCUACGGGAGGCAGCAGUGGGGAAUAUUGCACAAUGGGGGAAACCCUGAUGCAGCGACGCCGCGUGAAGGAAGAAGUAUCUCGGUAUGUAAACUUCUAUCAGCAGGGAAGAAAAUGACGGUACCUGACUAAGAAGCCCCGGCUAACUACGUGCCAGCCGCCGCGGUAAUAC
rnacentral:rRNA from 1 species